rnacentral:rRNA from 1 species
AUUGAACGCUGGCGGAAUGCUUUACACAUGCAAGUCGAACGGCAGCACGAACUUCGGUCUGGUGGCGAGUGGCGAACGGGUGAGUAAUGUAUCGGAACGUGCCCAGUCGUGGGGGAUAACGUAGUGAAAAUUACGCUAAUACCGCAUAAGCUCUAUGGAUGAAAGCGGGGGAUCGCAAGACCUCGCGCGAUUGGAGCGGCCGAUAUCAGAUUAGGUAGUUGGGGGGGUAAAGGCCCACCAAGCCAACGAUCUGUAGCUGGUCUGAGAGGACGACCAGCCACACUGGAACUGAGACACGGUCCAGACUCCUACGGGAGGCAGCAGUGGGGAAUUUUGGACAAUGGGCGAAAGCCUGAUCCAGCCAUUCCGCGUGCAGGAUGAAGGCCCUCGGGUUGUAAACUGCUUUUGUACAGAACGAAAAGGUUUCUACUAAUACUAGGAGCUCAUGACGGUACUGUAAGAAUAAGCACCGGCUAACUACGUGCCAGCCGCCGCCGUAA